AUUGGAAGGGGUGUAUUUAUUAGAUAAAAAACCAAUGCCCUUCGGGGCUCCUUGGUGAUUCAUGAUAACUUCUCGAAUCGCAUGGCCUUGCGCCGGCGAUGGUUCAUUCAAAUUUCUUCCCUAUCAACUUUCGAUGUUUGGGUAUUGGCCAAACAUGGUUGCAACGGGUAACGGAGGGUUAGGGCUCGACCCCGGAGAAGGAGCCUGAGAAACGGCUACUACAUCCAAGGAAGGCAGCAGGCGCGCAAAUUACCCAAUCCCGACACGGGGAGGUAGCGACAAUAAAUACUGAUACAGGGCUCUUUUGGGUCUUGUAAUUGGAAUGAGUACAAUUUAAAUCCCUUAACGAGGAACAAUUGGAGGGCAAGUCUGGUGCCAGCAGCCGCGGUAAUUCCAGCUCCAAUAGCGUAUAUUAAAGUUGUUGUGGUUAAAAAGCUCGUAGUUGAACCUUGGGCCUGGCUGGCCGGUCCGCCUCACCGCGUGUACUGGUCCGGCCGGGCCUUUCCCUCUGUGGAACCCCAUGCCCUUCACUGGGUGUGGCGGGGAACCAGGACUUUUAC
rnacentral:rRNA from 1 species